CCCCUGCUUGCCGCUGCGCUGUUCGCCUUGGUCGCUCUCCUGCGCCUCCUCCGAGGCCCCGUCUGUGUCCCGGGAUGCCCGUCCAGUGCCGGACCGCCAUCCCGCCGCCUCCUUGGUCUCGUCACUGGCAUCCGCGUUUAGGGUCAUUGUCGGUGACCACCCACCUCCACACCCCAAGGCCCACCCGACGCUUUAAUGACAUCUCGGAAUCCGGCCCCCUCUUCCCGCCUCCUCCUUAGUCCAUCCGCUUUCUGUCUCCUGGGGCUCCAGUCCCUUACUUGGGAAUCUCCCGUCCCCCCCGUCUUGUGUCCCCUUCCCCUCCCCCAGGCCCUCUCCUGCCUGCCCUGCUCCCCCAGGACAGAGCCUGGCCGGCCCAGGGCAGGUACUUCAGAAAAGACUGCUGAGUGAGUGGCCGGAGCUGUGGGCAGUGCCAGGAGCGGGCUGGGCCUCCCGACGGGCCUGUCCUGGCGUCGGGUCCCUGGGGGAGGGGAGGCUACGGGUGGGAAGGCCCUGGGCUCCCCCGAGGGCAACAGGCCUGGGCCGCGCACCUGGAGCUCCCUGCAGGUGUCUUCGCAGCCUUGGGGCCGCCCAGGUCCCUGCUCUAGUUGGAGGCGGGGCUUGGGCGGGACACCGAAGACCAUGGCCCACAGGUGUCACUUGUUUAUAUUAAGUCCCCGGCGUAAUACCUUCCAAAUCCAUCCAUGUUGAUGCAAAUGGAAAAAUUUCCUUCUUUUUUAUAGACUGUUGUCCACUGUGGCUGCCCCAUUUCCCAUUCCCACCAGCAGCGAACAAAGGCUCUGAUUUCUCCACAUCCUCCAUUGUUAUUUUCUGGGUUUUGACAGUCGUAUACCCAUGGACGUGUGGUGUUGGAUUUGACCUCAUGGUUGGAUGAUGGAAAUGCAACGCCUCCACCUCAAGAACCAGCCCCGCCGGUCUCACUUGCUUCUCAGGGAAUGUGACCCCCUCGGGCCCAGGCUGACCCCACAGCAUAGACAGUGGGUCUCUGGGUGUUACUUGGCCCGAGCCAAGGACUGUCCUCGAGGGACUGGUCCAGAGGCCUGACCGGGAGGGUGGCCGUGACCCAGGGUGCUGGUGGCAGACGCAGAGACGAGAGGCCAGGAGGCCUGGAUGGGAGGGACGGGGGCUGCCCAGCUCCUCUCCCGUUGGGCUGGGCGCUGCUCCUUUGAAAUAAACUCUUUGCCCAGGCCUGCUGGCCCAGUCCCCAAGCAGACGUCUUGUCCUGCCCGUCUCCACAAGGUGAAAGAUAGAAAUUAAACCAGGAGGUGCCAUGUGAGGACCUUGAAAAGACUUUUGGAGGCAGGGUCUCUCUCCCCUGCAACUGCUCCCGUCGGGGCCAGUACAUUCUCUGCGGGGUCAUCGUGGGCACUGUGGGGUGUGGAGCAGCAUCCCUGGCCCCGCCCACUCAUGCCAGGAGCCCCCCCUGAGUCGUGACAACCACAGAUGUCCCCAGCCAAGCGUUCCUGCAAGCUAAUAUGAGGCAUUCAUGGCACUUACCUUGGGCAGAAAAUUUAGUGGGCGCCAGAAACUUCAAGAUUAAUGGCAGUUAAUGCAAUAUUUUAACAAUCCGAAAUGAAUGCAAAAAAUCCAUGAUGAACAAAAUGUCAAAAAUUUUUUAAAUUUUAAUGAAGUAUAUAGUUAGUUGAUUUACAAUGUUGUGUUUAAUUUCCGCUAUACAGCAAAGUGACUCAGUCAUACAUAUAUAUAUUCUUUUUCAUAUUCUUUUCCAUUAUGGUUUAUCACAAGAUAUGGAAUGUAUUUCCCUAUGCUAUAUAGUAGGACCUUGCUAUUUAUCCAUUCUGUAUAAAAUAGUUUGCAUCUGCUAAUCCCAAACUCCCACUCCAUCCCUCCCCACCCUUGGCAAUCACAAGUUUGUUCCUCUGUGUCUGUCUGUUUUUGUUUUGUAGAUAUGUUCAUUUGUGUUGUAUUUUAGAUUCCACAUAUAAGUGGUAUCAUAUGGUAUUUGUCUUCUCUUUCUGACUUACUUAGUAUGACAGUCUCUAGUUGCAUCCCUGUUGGCUGCAAAUGGCAUUAUUCUUUUUGAUGGCUGAGUAGUAUUCCAUUGUAUAUGUACCAAACUUCUUUAUCCAUUCAUCUGUCGAUGGACAUUUAUGUUACUUCCGUGUCUUGGCAAUUGUACAUAAUGCUGCUAUGAACAUUGGGGUGCCUGUAACUUUUUAAAUGAUAGUUUUGUCUGGUAUAUGCCCAGGAGUGGGAUUGCUGGAUCAUAUGGCAAUUCUAUUUUUUGUUUUUUUUGGCCACGCCAUGCGGCUUGUGGGAUCUUAGUUCCCCGACCAGGGAUUGAACCAGGGCCCUUGGCAGUGAAAGCACGGAGUCCUAACCACUGGACUGCCAGGAAAUUCCCUAUUUUUAGUUUUUUAAGGAACCUCCGUACUGUUCUCCAUAGUGGCUGUACCAAUUUACAUUCCCACCAACAGUGUAGGAGGGUUCCCUUUUCUCCGCACCCUCUCCAGCAUUUAUUAUUUGUAGACUUUUUAAUGAUGGCCAUUCUGACUGGUGUGAGGUGGUAACUCACUGUGGUUUUGAUUUUCAUUUCUCUAAUAAUUAGCGAUGUUAAGCAUCUUUUCAUGUGCCUAUUGGCCAUCUUUGGAGAACUAUCUAUUUAGGUCUUCUGCCCAUUUUUUGAUUGGACUGUUUUUUUUGUUAUUGAAUUGUAGGAGCUAUUUAUAUACAAAAUGUAAAAAAUUUAAAUACAGAUUGAACAGUACUGUGCCAUUUUAAAGUGAGACAAAAUGAGGAAGAUAUGCCCUUUAUACAUUUUUUAAAGCAAUAUUUACUGAACACCAACCUAGUACAAGACAUUGUAGGAAGAUAUUUUUAUUUUAUUUAUUUAGUAUUUUAUUUUAUUUUAUUAUUUUAUUUUAUUUUUUGGCCGCUCAGCGCAGCAUGUGGGAUCUUAGUUCCCCGACCAGGGAUCGAACCCACACCCCCUGCAUUGGAAGCAGAGAGUCUUAACCACUGGACCGCCAGGGAAGUCCCCCUUUAUACAAUAAGUUUUUAUGUAGUUUUUGAUGGUUAACUUUCCCCUCCCUGAACACUGAAGUGGUUGAAAAAGUAUUGAAAUGUUGAAAAGGAGUUGUAUGAGAACUCACAGAAGUUUAAGCCUAAAUAUUGUACUUAAUCCGAACCUGAAGUUAUUAGAAUUUUACUUUUUUGGCUUUCACAAAAGCAAACUCAGAUAUUUUCAUUAAAACCAUUAGCCAUUACAAAAAUACAUAACUCGUGUACAGGGGCUCACAUUUCCUUUUGUUUCAGGCUUUGAUGGGGGGCUGUGGGACUGUCCACAUCUGCAUGAGUUAGAAAUUUUAUUUUUAAAAUUGAGUAACUUAUCUCAGAAUCCGUCACUUAUAGGUAUUUAAGUGGCAUCUAUUCAUUUAUGUAUGAAAUAACAUCACUCCACAGAUAUUGUUAUAAUGGCAAAUGACAGGAAAUGAAUGUCCUUUGCUAAUAGACUGGUUAGUAAAUGUUGGUACCAGGCAGCCAUUUAAAAACUGAGGACGCUGUGUGUUUCUUUUCUGUUUAAUUGAAUUGUAGAUUUAUAAUGUGUUAGUUUCAGGUGUACAGCAAAGUGAUUCAGUUAUACACAUGCAUGUAUAUUUUUUCAUAUUUUUUCAUUAUGGUUUAUUAUAAGAUAUUGACUAUAGUUCCCUGUGCUAUACAGUAGGUUCUUGUUGUUUAUCUGUUUAUAGUAGUGUGUGUAUGUUAAUCCCAAACUCCUAAUUUAUCCCUCCCUUCCCCCCUUUCCCCUUUGGUAACCAGAAGUUUGUUUUCUGUCUGUGAGCCUAUUUGUUUUGUAAAUAAGUUCAUUUGUAUCAUCUUUUUAGAUUCCACAUAUAAGUGAUAUCAUAUGAUAUUUGUCUUUGGCUGGCUGACUUCACUUAGUAUGAUGAUCUCUAGGUCCAUCCAUGUUGCUGCAAAUGGCAAUACUUCAUCCUUUUUUAUGGCUGAGUAAAUAGUCCACUGUGUAUAUGUACCACAUUAUCCAUUCCUCUGUCAAUGGACAUUGAGGUUGCUUCCAUGCCUUGGCUAUUGUAACUAGUGCUGCUAGGAACAUUGGGGUCCAUGUAUCUUUUAAUACAUUUAUUUAUUUAUUUAUUUAUUUA